rnacentral:lncRNA from 1 species
GCUCAGAGACUGAGACAGAGAAGAACGAUGUCUGAACUCAGUCACAUUCAAAUGUUAGUGUUUCUGAUCCUGAUGCUUCAGUUCACAGGUGAGGAAACAUUUAACAGCAUCAAGUCAUUGAUCUUAGUUCACACUAACUGUCAGAGUUUUGUUGAUGCUUUGAUCUAAAAUCAUCUUUUAUGUUUUGUUUAUUUUUCAUCUACAGUCACUGAACAACUUUCCUCCUCUGUCGCUCUAAGAGCUGGAAACGACGUCACUUUGGUUUGUGAUCGUGUGAAAGAUGAACAGGAUGAAUGUCAGAACAUACAAUGGAUCUACAUUGAUGCAGCUCACACCAGAACUGAUGGACUGGUUAGAAAUGGACAGAUUGUAGCAUCCAGAUCAAACAGACUGAGACUUGGAGAGAAAUGUUCUCUGGUCAUAAAGAACGUCACAGAUCAGGAUGCUGGUCGUUACGUCUGCAGACGAGGUGGAGAAUCUGACGUUUAUCUGUCUGUUGUUACAUGUGAGUAUUUACAUCAUUGUGUUUUCAGCUCAAACUGUUUUGUUACAACAACAAUUUUAAUGAAACAGUUAGAAUGUAAGUGUGAAGUUAAAUUUAACUUAAUUUGUUUUAACAUUAUUUCUUCACCAGUGACUAAAUAUAAGAUAGAACAUAGGACCACCUUCUACUGUUACACGUCAACACAUAAAGACUGUGAACCAUCAGUGAAGUGGCUGAAUCAGGAUAAAGUGAUUAUAGGUAACAGAGACCUGAAGGCAUCACAGACUCGCUACUACGCUGUCGUGUCUUUUGAGGAUUCUCAACGUAUUCACUCAUCAGUGAUGAACUCGUUAACGUGUGAAGUGACUGAUUGUAAAAGUAACGUUCAUCAGUUUCUCUUCAGACCAGAUAAACAUGUAAAACCAGCAACUACAGAAUCAUCUACUUCAGUAACAACAGUCAGAAUCUCACCUACAACAGUCACUGAACAACUUUCCUCCUCUGUCGCUGUCAGAGCUGGAGACGACGUCACUUUGGUUUGUGAACGUGUGAAUGAUGAACAGGAUGAAUGUCAGAACAUAGAAUGGUUCUACAAUGGUGCAGCUCACAUGAGAACAGAUGCUCUGGUUAGAAAUGGACAGAUUGUAGCAUCCAGAUCAAACAGACUGAGACUUGGAGACAAAUGUUCUCUGGUCAUAAAGAACGUCACAGAUCAGGAUGUUGGUCGUUACUCCUGCAGACGAGAUGGAGACUCUGUGGUUUAUCUGUCUGUUGUUACAUGUGAGUAUUUACAUCAUUGUGUUUUCAGCUCAAACUGUUUUGUUACAACAACAAUUUUAAUGAAAGUUAUAAAACAAGUGUAAAGUUAAUUUGUUUCUUUGUUUUAACAUUAUUUCUUCACCAGUGACUGACUAUAAGCUACAACAUACGAUCAACGCCUACUGUUUUGUGUCAACACAUAAAGACUGUGAACCAUCAGUGAAGUGGCUGAAUCAGGAUAAAGUGUUUAUAGGUCACAGAGACCUGAAGGCAUCACAGACUCACUACUACGCCUUCAUGUCUUUUGAGAAUCUUCAACAUAUUCACUCUUCAGUGAUGAACUCGUUAACGUGUGAAGUGACUGAUUGUAAAAGCAACGUUCAUCAGUUUCUCUUCAGACCAGGUGAGAAAAUAAAGAACUGUUCAUUAUUAAACUCCA